UACGGAGGGGGCUAGCGUUGUUCGGAAUUACUGGGCGUAAAGCGCACGUAGGCGGCUUUGUAAGUUAGAGGUGAAAGCCCGGGGCUCAACUCCGGAAUUGCCUUUAAGACUGCAUCGCUAGAAUUGUGGAGAGGUGAGUGGAAUUCCGAGUGUAGAGGUGAAAUUCGCAGAUAUCAGGAGGAACACCGGUGGCGAAGGCGGAUCUCUGGGCCUUACCUGACGCUGAGGCGCGAAAGCUAGGGGAGCGAACAGG
rnacentral:rRNA from 1 species